rnacentral:rRNA from 1 species
GACGAACGCUGGCGGCGUGCUUAACACAAGCAAGUCGAACGGAAAGGCCCUGCUUUUGUGGGGUGCUCGAGUGGCGAACGGGCGAGUAACACGUGAGUAACCUGCCCUUGACUUUGGGAUAACUUCAGGAAACUGGGGCUAAUACCGGAUAGGAGCUCCUGCUGCAUGGUGGGGGUUGGAAAGUUUCGGCGGUUGGGGAUGGACUCGCGGCUUAUCAGCUUGUUGGUGGGGUAGUGGCUUACCAAGGCUUUGACGGGUAGCCGGCCUGAGAGGGUGACCGGCCACAUUGGGACUGAGAUACGGCCCAGACUCCUACGGGAGGCAGCAGUGGGGAAUAUUGCACAAUGGGCGGAAGCCUGAUGCAGCAACGCCGCGUGCGGGAUGACGGCCUUCGGGUUGUAAACCGCUUUCGCCUGUGACGAAGCGUGAGUGACGGUAAUGGGUAAAGAAGCACCGGCUAACUACGUG